rnacentral:rRNA from 1 species
AGAGUUUGAUCUUUUCUCAGAUUGAACGCUGGCGGGAUGCCUUACACAUGCAAGUCGAACGGCAGCACGGGAGCUUGCUCCUGGUGGCGAGUGGCGAACGGGUGAGUAAUAUAUCGGAACGUACCCUAGAGUGGGGGAUAACGCAGCGAAAGUUGCGCUAAUACCGCAUACGAUCUACGGAUGAAAGUGGGGGAUCGCAAGGCCUCAUGCUCAUGGAGCGGCCGAUAUCUGAUUAGCUAGUUGGUGGGGUAAAGGCCUACCAAGGCAUCGAUCAGUAGCUGGUCUGAGAGGACGACCAGCCACACUGGAACUGAGACACGGUCCAGACUCCUACGGGAGGCAGCAGUGGGGAAUUUUGGACAAUGGGGGCAACCCUGAUCCAGCAAUGCCGCGUGAGUGAAGAAGGCCUUCGGGUUGUAAAGCUCUUUUGUCAGGGAAGAAACGGUGAGGGCUAAUAUCCUUUGCUAAUGACGGUACCUGAAGAAUAAGCACCGGCUAACUACGUGCCAGCAGCCGCGGUAAUACGUAGGGUGCAAGCGUUAAUCGGAAUUACUGGGCGUAAAGCGUGCGCAGGCGGUUAUGUAAGUCAGAUGUGAAAUCCCCGGGCUCAACCUGGGAAUGGCAUUUGAGACUGCAUGGCUAGAGUGUGUCAGAGGGGGGUAGAAUUCCACGUGUAGCAGUGAAAUGCGUAGAGAUGUGGAGGAAUACCGAUGGCGAAGGCAGCCCCCUGGGAUAACACUGACGCUCAUGCACGAAAGCGUGGGGAGCAAACAGGAUUAGAUACCCUGGUAGUCCACGCCC